CACCGCGGUUAUACGAGAGGCCCUAGUCGACGACCCCGGCGUAAAGAGUGGUUAUGGGGCCCCUUCCUUCUUUACUAAAGCUGAACCUCCCCCAGGCCGUUAUACGCUUCCGGAGGAUGGAACCCCCCAGACGAAAGUAGCUUUAAACCUCCAACCAGAACCCACGACAGCCAGGGCA
rnacentral:rRNA from 1 species